rnacentral:rRNA from 1 species
AGAGUUUGAUCCUGGCUCAGAAUCAACGCUGGCGGCGCGCUUAACACAUGCAAGUCGCACGAGAAAGGGAGCAAUCCUAAGUAAAGUGGCGCACGGGUGAGUAACACGUGGAUCAUCUACCUUUUAGUGGGGAAUACCUCUGGGAAACCGGAGACAAUACCGCAUAAGCCCGCAAGGGGAAAGCAGCAAUGCGCUGAAAGAGGAGUCCGCGGCCGAUUAGCUAGUUGGCGGGGUAAUGGCCCACCAAGGCGAAGAUCGGUAGCCGGCCUGAGAGGGCACACGGCCACACUGGCACUGAAACACGGGCCAGACUCCUACGGGAGGCAGCAGUGGGGAAUCUUGCACAAUGGACGAAAGUCUGAUGCAGCGACGCCGCGUGAGCGAUGAAGCCCUUCGGGGUGUAAAGCUCUUUCGACGGGAACGAUAAUGACGGUACCCGGAGAAGAAGCUGCGGCUAACUACGUGCCAGCAGCCGCGGUAAUACGUAGGCAGCGAGCGUUGUUCGGAAUUACUGGGCGUAAAGAGUGUGUAGGCGGUGUUCCCAGUCUGUUGUGAAAUCUCCCGGCUUAACUGGGAGGGUGCAGCGGAAACUAGAAUGCUAGAGGGUGGGAGAGGUAAGCGGAAUUCCUGGUGUAGCGGUGAAAUGCGUAGAUAUCAGGAGGAACACCUGGUGUAGACAGCUUACUGGACCACUUCUGACGCUGAGACACGAAAGCGUGGGUAGCAAACAGGAUUAGAUACCCUAGUAGUCC